UGUUCUCUAUUUCAGAACUGACGGCUCUUAAAAGGGGCCAGGUGCAACUAUUAAUACUAGGACGUUACAGACUACAGACCAGGUUUGAUGAUGAUCCAUCAUGUGGUUUGUGAGAAGUAAAGCUCUAGUGGCUCUGGUGAUAUGAGAGGGACAAUACAAGGAUGCUACAGACCAAGUUUGAACUUGCAAAUGGAAUCAUUUGAACAACACUGAGCUUGCCGGGAUGUGAAAGGACAAGUUUGGUGUAAUUCUGGCCAGUCCUUCCAGAAAAAUUAAAAUGUUGAUGAUGAACAAUGGAUUAUCUGCCUAUGCUAAUAGCUCACCAUGAAUCUUUGGUUUGGAUGUCCGAAUCCUGCAAAUGUUUAAUACAGUUCUUCAGGUAUUUCAUUUUUAAAACCUUCAGUGCAAAUCCUUGUAUUACCUUAACGCUUAAUUGCCUCCACUGCCUUUGCAAUGAUGUUCAGUAGUCAAUAAAGCAGAAUUUUGCUAUCAAUA